rnacentral:tRNA from 2 species
AAAGAAUUAGUUAAUAAAUAACAUAAAUAUGUCAAAUUUAAAUUAUUAUAAAAAUAAUAUUCUUUA